rnacentral:rRNA from 1 species
UACGGAGGGCGCAAGCAUUAAUCGGAUUUACUGGGCGUAAAGAGUGCGUAGGCGGGUUAGCAAGUCAGGUGUGAAAUUCCGAUACUCAAUAUCGGAGCUGCACUUGAAACUACUAAUCUUGAGGAUAGGCGGAGAGAACGGAAUUCCAUAUGUAGCGGUGAAAUGCGUAGAUAUAUGGAAGAACACCUGUGGCGAAAGCGGUUCUCUAGCUUAUUUCUGACGCUGAGGCACGAGAGCGUGGGGAGCAAACAGG